GAUGAACGCUGGCGGCGUGCCUAAUACAUGCAAGUCGAGCGAACAGAUGCGGAGCUUGCUCCUCUGACGUUAGCGGCGGACGGGGGAGUAAUACGUGGAUAACCUACUUAUAAGACUGGGAUAACAUCGGCAAACCGGAGCUACUACCGGAUAAUAUAUUGAAUCUCACGCUUCAUUAGUCAAAGACGGUUUUUGUGUCGGUUAUAGAUGGAUUCGCGCCGCAUUAGCUAGUUGGUAAGGUAAUGGCUUACCAAGGCAACGAGGCGUAGCCGACCUGAGAGAGUGAGCGGCGACACUGGAGGUGAGAGACGGUCCAGAGACCCACGGGAGGCAGAGGUGGGGAAUAUACCGCAAAGGGCGAGAGCGUGAGGUGGAGACGCGGCGUGAGUGAUGAAGGUCUUCGGAGCGUAAAACUCUGUUAUGAGAGAAGAGCAAAUGUGUAAGUAACUAUGCACGUCUUGACGGUACCGGAUCAGAAAGCCACGGCUAACUACGU
rnacentral:rRNA from 1 species